GAUGCUUUUAGUUCUUUGCUUGUCUAAACGUGAGGUCUACAUAUUUGAUUCUCAACAGAAGAAGAGAAAUUUGAUGAUUAAGGAGCCACUAAACAAUGCUUUUCGGAGUUACAAGAGACUAGGUGGACAAUCUAAGGGAACUAAAUUAACAUGGAUUCCAGCACAGUGUGCUCAACAACCGGGAUCACUAGAAUGUGGCUACUACGUCAUGCGUUUUAUGUACGACAUAAUAAUGAAUCAUGGUAAUAGUCAAGAUCUUACUAAGGUAUGUUC